CCAAAACAUCUUUCUCUUUUAAAAAGGUUUUUCCUUCCUCAUGUGGUUGAGAUUAUGUAAUGGACACAGAGGAAACAGACAUACCCUACCCUCCAUGAGCCCAUAGCCUCUUCAGGAAGGCCCCCCAGCCAUGAAGCUCCUUCAGCGUGAGAAGCACCAGGUGAAGUGGGGGCCAGAGAAGAGUGGCCUGGGCCUCAGGUCAGCGCUGGUGAGGGAAGAAGUGGGGCUUUCUGGAGGUUAUGGAUCAACACACCACCUAUAUCUACUGCACACGUCCCUCCCUUUCACAGUGCAUUAACUUCAGAUGUGUGCUCUGCCUCUUUCUGUCUUCCCACCAAAUCAAAAACAACUCAUGUAAGCAAUAGUAGACUCUGUGAAGUGCAGCCAUCAGCUUUCCAAAUUCACAGGCUCAACAUAAACCCUCUUUCUUGACAUGAUCACGUUGUUGGAUUACAGAGGGAGUAACGGGGAGGGAGAGGCUGGUGGUAACUUACACAAGGGAGCCAGUAGAUCUGUCUGAGCCACUAGGUACCAGGAAGGUGACCUUCAUUCAAAUACUGCUACACAAGACUGGAGAUGGUUAGGCCACAAUGGUUAUUGCCCUAUGUAUUGUCUUAGUUGGGAAUGCCUCAGAAACUGGAGUGGUUCUCAGCCUACAGGUGGAGGAAUGGCAGAUUCAACUCAUAGAAGGUGGAAGAGAAGAAAGAAAAGAAUACACCCAGGGCUGCAGAGCCCAUUUGUUGGGGCUUAUCAUGGAUCCUUCCACCCCCUACCACCAGUGUCAGGUGUUUUCAGAACUGAGAAAAACCCUGGUGCUCAGAAAGGCUCUAGGACUCAGGAUUCACAGGAGCUCAAUGACUUCAGCUUGGGGUUCUGGACUCAGGUUCAAAGCUCAAUGGGCUCAGGCUUCUGAGGAGCUUGAUGGUGUUCAGCAGCUUUGUGAGCUUAGAGCAAUUAGCACUAUACAGGGUGUGUUUGUAGUUAUACAGGCAUCUGUGCCCAGCCUGAGCUCCUAAACAUCAUUUGGAAAGAUGUUUCUAUGGGAAAACCGUGCCUCCAAAUGCAACUGUUCUUUCCCAUGCACACAUUGUUAUGCACACUAUGUUUUUUUAUCUCAUAAAGAGGAGAAAACAGAAAUGAUAUUGAACUUGGGUUGGCUUGACAUGAAUGUCUCCCAUAUGGCAUCCUUUCACACUGAAUAAUUCAACUUUGGGGAAACUGAUGUCAGACAGCUGUGCACUUGUUCUGUUAAUGCCAUGGGACCAGAGGAUGUCCCUAUGGCUGGGCAUGUAACCCUCUCUGAAUGGAAUGAACAUUGAUGGGGAAAAGCACUUUAAGAAGAGGUCAAUCUGAGGCCCAAAAUAUAGCGAAACCUUUUUAUAACCUACCAAAAGGAAAUUAGAGGCUUCUCGGUGAAGAGGAUUUUUGUGAAGUUGGUUCUGCCAGCAGCCUACAAGCUAAAGGUGGUGCCCAUUUCUGGGAAUGUUAACCUCAAAAGGCCAAUAGCUGGUAUAAUAUAGCUGGAGUCAGUGCCUAAUUCCAAGUGGGUUUUUUUUUUUUGGCAUGGGUACUGAUCAGGAAUAUAUAGUUUCCUGCAUAACUCAAUCUGAACCAAGCAUUGCAGUUUUCCUCCUUGCCUUCCCUUCUGUGUGACACCUUGGUAAAAAAAAAAAAAAAAGUUAAAAAACAAAACCUACCCUGUUCUGUGUUUUUUUUUUUCCUCCCUUUAGUUCCACUCCCAACCCCCAUCCCCCAGUGUCCUUCUUAGAGAUAAAUAAUAAGGAAACAUCUUUCAUAGCCACAUUAAAUAAGAGAAAGUGAUAUACAUUAUUUUUUUUCUUCUUAAAGAUGACUUAUAAGAACCCUGGAAUGCAUAAAGGUGAGACAAUAGAAAUAAGAUCUUUGGCCAGGACUUUCCAAAGCAGUUAUUCUGCUAAAAAUGGUCUUAGCUGUCUGACGAGCCAACUAUUGACCCUCUUCAUGACAGUAUCAACACUGGCUUCUCCUGGUUCAUUUUCUGCGUUGAGAAGUCAGUGGUAACUGCUGCGGGCUUAUACAUUCGUGGCUACUGGUUUAGAAAACAAAGACUGCAAGCCUGUGUGUGCCACUGUUUGCCUCAACAGUAUAUCCUACUAACAAGCCUCACCUGUUUAAUCCAGUGAACUUUAAAUCUAAAUCUCAUUCCCUUCCUUUUCCCCUACCUUUUUUCUUUUCUUUUUUCUUAAAAUUUUUUUGUGUUAUUAACAGAAAUUCAUAUUUGCUGUGGCUUAGCUGUAUUUCAGAAGGUCAUCAGAAAUACAGUGAGACUGCUUCCUUGAAACAUUCUUGUGCUAUUGUUCAAAAAGAAAUAAUAAUUUAAAAACAGUUGGUGUUAAUAAAAAUGUCAAUUUAAAAAACAGAGAAACUAUGGAGGUAAACCUUAUAUAGAAGAGAAGGAAACACAUUUCUCUGAAUCUGGGGAUCCAUUUGGGUUAAGAAUGAUGUGUAGAGAGGUAGAAAUAUUCAGGGAGAUGAAGACAAGCUAUCUUUAGCCAAGUAGGAGAUAGGCAGAGAGCUGAUCUAGUAGAGCAGUACUCCCCAACCUUUUUGACACCAGUUUCGUGGAAGACAAUUUUUCCAUGGAUGGGGUGGGGUGUGGUUUCAGAAUCAAACAAUUUCACCUCAGAUCAUUAAGCAUUAGAUUCUCAUAAGGAACACACAACCAAGUCCCUCGCAGGCGCAGUUCACAAUAGGGUUUGUGCUCCUAUGACAGUCUAAUGCCACCACUGAUUGAGAGGAGGCAGAGCUCAGGUGGUAAUGCUCACUCACCUGCUGCUAACCUCCUGCUGUGCAACCUGGUUCUCAACAGGCUGCAAGCUGAUCCCGUCCACAGUUCAGGGAUUGGAGACCCUUGUAGCAGAGGACCCAGUGCUGGGCUGUGUGUGGCUAUCUGUUAUAAAUUAUUAUCUCUAGUGAGCUUCCUUUUAGUAUUAGUCAAAACUCUAGGCCGCUUGUGAUAAAUCAAACUAGCUUAAAGCAAAAGUAUAAUUUAUUGGCUCAUCGGAGGGGCUGAAAAAACAAACAGGAGAAGCAAGGAUGAAGGUAGAAAUCAGGAGCAUCUGAUCUGAACCCAAGGACCUGAAUGCCUCCAAGGCUCCUGUCUCUCAUUACCACUUCUACCUGCAUGAUAAUAUUCUGUUUCACCACUGGUGUCUUCAUGUAGCAGUGAACAUGGUCACUGUCAAGUCUUAACUUUUACAUCUUACAACGACUGCUAUCAAAGAGAAGAUGGCCAGGGUCUUUCUCUUAGCCCAGGGAGGAAGGGUCAAUUCUUAACUGUCCCUGUCAGGAGCACUUCAUCCCAUACAGUCACUCACU